AUUUCACUGUGAGGUCUACUACACCUGUUGUAUUCAGCAUUUCACUGUAAGGUCUACUACACCUGUUGUAUUCAGCAUUUCACUGUAAGGUCUACUACACCUGUUGUAUUCAGCAUUUCACUGUGAGGUCUACUACACCUGUUGUAUUCAGCAUUUCACUGUAAGGUCUACUACACCUGUUGUAUUCAUCAUUUCACUGUGAGGUCUACUACACCUGUUGUAUUCAGCAUUUCACUGUAAGGUCUACUACACCUGUUGUAUUCAGCAUUUCACUGUGAGGUCUACUACACCUGUUGUAUUCAGCAUUUCACUGUGAGGUCUACUACACCUGUUGUAUUCAGCAUUUCACUGUGAGGUCUACUACACCUGUUGUAUUCAGCAUUUCACUGUGAGGUCUACUACACCUGUUGUAUUCAGCAUUUCACUGUGAGGUCUACUACACCUGUUGUAUUCAGCAUUUCACUGUAAGGUCUACUACACCUGUUGUAUUCAGCAUUUCACUGUGAGGUCUACUACACCUGUUGUAUUCAGCAUUUCACUGUAAGGUCUACUACACCUGUUGUAUUCAGCAUUUCACUGUAAGGUCUACUACACCUGUUGUAUUCAGCAUUUCACUGUAAGGUCUACUACACCUGUUGUAUUCAGCAUUUCACUGUAAGGUCUACUACACCUGUUGUAUUCAGCAUUUCACUGUAAGGUCUACUACACCUGUUGUAUUCAGCAUUUCACUGUAAGGUCUACUACACCUGUUGUAUUCAGCAUUUCACUGUGAGGUCUACUACACCUGUUGUAUUCAGCAUUUCACUGUGAGGUCUACUACACCUGUUGUAUUCAACAUUUCACUGUAAGGUCUACUACACCUGUUGUAUUCAGCAUUUCACUGUAAGGUCUACUACACCUGUUGUAUUCA